rnacentral:rRNA from 1 species
GUCUAUAGCCAUGCUACCCUAAACAAGCCCCAUCUCAUCUGAUCUCGGAAGCUAAGCAGGGUUGGGCCUUGUUAAUACUUGGAUGGGAGACCACCUAGGAAGACUAGGUGCUGUAGGUG